rnacentral:rRNA from 1 species
UACGUAGGGUGCGAGCGUUGUCCGGAAUUAUUGGGCGUAAAGAGCUUGUAGGUGGUUUGUCGCGUCUGCUGUGAAAAUCCGAGGCUCAACCUCGGACUUGCAGUGGGUACGGGCAGACUAGAGUGUGGUAGGGGAGACUGGAAUUCCUGGUGUAGCGGUGGAAUGCGCAGAUAUCAGGAGGAACACCGAUGGCGAAGGCAGGUCUCUGGGCCAUUACUGACACUG